rnacentral:rRNA from 1 species
GAGUUUGAUCCUGGCUCAGGACGAACGCUGGCGGCGUGCCUAAUACAUGCAAGUCGAGCGGACAGAUGGGAGCUUGCUCCCUGAUGUUAGCGGCGGACGGGUGAGUAACACGUGGGUAACCUGCCUGUAAGACUGGGAUAACUCCGGGAAACCGGGGCUAAUACCGGAUGGUUGUUUGAACCGCAUGGUUCAGACAUAAAAGGUGGCUUCGGCUACCACUUACAGAUGGACCCGCGGCGCAUUAGCUAGUUGGUGAGGUAACGGCUCACCAAGGCAACGAUGCGUAGCCGACCUGAGAGGGUGAUCGGCCACACUGGGACUGAGACACGGCCCAGACUCGUACGGGAGGCAGCAGUAGGGAAUCUUCCGCAAUGGACGAAAGUCUGACGGAGCAACGCCGCGUGAGUGAUGAAGGUUUUCGGAUCGUAAAGCUCUGUUGUUAGGGAAGAACAAGUGCCGUUCAAAUAGGGCGGCACCUUGACGGUACCUAACCAGAAAGCCACGGCUAACUACGUGCCAGCAGCCGCGGUAAUACGUAGGUGGCAAGCGUUGUCCGGAAUUAUUGGGCGUAAAGGGCUCGCAGGCGGUUUCUUAAGUCUGAUGUGAAAGCCCCCGGCUCAACCGGGGAGGGUCAUUGGAAACUGGGGAACUUGAGUGCAGAAGAGGAGAGUGGAAUUCCACGUGUAGCGGUGAAAUGCGUAGAGAUGUGGAGGAACACCAGUGGCGAAGGCGACUCUCUGGUCUUAACGACCUGAGAGGAAGCGGA